CCACACCAAACUCAAAAAGAAGAGAGUAGCUAGCUAAGCAUUACAAGUCUCUGUGUAACUACAGCAAAUUAACAAGAUCAAGAAGAUGCACGGUCCGGGAGGAGGUGGCGGCGGUCCGGGAGGACAAGGAGGCGGCGGUCCUGGAGGACAAGGAGGCGGCGGUCCUGGAGGACAAGGAGGCGGCGGUCCUGGAGGACAAGGAGGAGGCGGUGGUCAGGGAGGCGGUGGUCAGGGAGGUGGUCAGGGAGGCGGUGGUCAGGGAGGUGGUCAGGGAGGCGGGUGGUCAGGGAGGAGGCGGUCCAGGAGGCGGCGGUGGUCAGGGAGGAGGCGGUCCAGGAGGGCCAGGACAUCACGGCGGACACGGGGGUGGAGGUGGACCAGGUGGUCGCUGCUAAGUGCUAAUGGUUUCGACCAAGAACUUCUAGUGUACUUAUAUAUAUAUAUAUAUAUAUAUAUAUAUAUAUGCUGAUCAUGUUUUAUAGUUAAUUAGUUUACUAAUCAUGUUUAAGAUCACCGCACCAGACCAGCUCAGCUGGAGAGGAUCUGGGGAGGAUCAUGUGUCCGUCCAUAAUGGUACUAUGUUGAAUAUGCUGCAUAUUAUGAUAUCAAUAAAAUGGAGUUCCGUUUAUAUUUAUAUGAUAUGAUUGGAAUUAUAUGAAACCUUUUAUCAUUAUUGAUAAUUAAUCUAUGGCUUAUUUUUAGCCUGUUUGGAACUCCAUGUUAAUCUCACUUUAUUCUACCACAAAAGUCACCAAUUUACUCAAUAAAACUCUAAAUUCGUUUCAUUUGAUUUGUGGGCUCUCUUUUCUACCUGAAACUUAUAGGUCACCUCGAAAAACACAUGUAGAACCCAACACUCAAUAAGAAAACGUCACAUGUGCAAUAAAGUUGACUAUAAAUCUCUACUAUGCGUCAACAUUCAACAAUAAGAGAUUAUUAAGUUUAAAAAAAAUAAAAGAUAUUGAAAAAAAAAAUUGAUUAGCUUGCACCCAAAAUUAAACCAAAUAAGAAAUUAACAGAUUUAAGGCAAUGAGAAACUAAUUUUGAGUUUUAGAGGGACGACUUUCAAGUUUUAAGGGUCAAAAUGGAAUCAAAAUUGAGUUCUAGGGGCAAAGUGAAGCAAAUUUGGAGUUUUAGAUGAUAAAAUGACGACUUAUAAGUUACAGAGAGCAAAGUAAGACUAAAAUGGAGUUCUAGUGCAGAUAGCUAAAAAUAAAUCUUAAUCUAUUUCUAAAGAUCUUUAAUUUUUUUUUUUUUUAAGGGGAGACAAUUGGUGGCAAGCCACGGUUAUCCAUCCAUUUCGGGGCCGGGAAGACUUACAGAGGCAUUUCAGUCUUUUCCUGGCUACAAGUCUGGCUUCUACUCUAACAACGAGUUUUGAACCUAAGAACUUCAAUUUUUAAUUCAAACCCAAAAAUCUUUAAUUGAAUAUAUUAUAUAUAUCGAUACAAUACGAGAAGAUUACAAUUCUUUUUAACAAUUUAAUCGAUGGUAAAAUGGGAUAUCAAAGAAAUAGUUGCAAAAGUGGCUGUGUGCGAUGUCGCUGGAGUUUAAAAAUGUUUUGAAAAUAUAUACAUAGAGAGAGAGAGAGAGAGAGAGAGAGAGAGAGAGAGAGAGAGAGAGAGAGAGAGAGAGAGAGAGAGAGAGAGAUGUAUAUAUAAUUUUACAGUUUUUAAGGGAAGAGACUUCUAUUUUUUUAUAAAAUAAAGAUUAGUUAUGGGUUAACACCAAAUCGAACUUCAAUGAUUCAAAUCGUCUAUUUUUUAAGUUGCACCUCAUAGAUCAUCCUUACAAAAUAUUAGUCAAAUCAUAAAUAUUUGAGACAUCUAAUUGAGUUCAAAAAAAUUGAUAAACACUAUGUUUAAAGAAACUUGAAAUUUCAUCAUGUUACUAAAUUGGCACAUGGUUUCAGAUGAAAUUGAAUUUUUGCAUAAAUGAUAUGAAAAAUUGAGAUUUACAAAAUAAACGGUUUUGGAUCAUUGAGGUUUUGAUGUUGGAUGGGUCCCACUACUAAUCCCCAUUUCUUACAAAAUAAAAAAUAAAAAAACGAUCUCUCCUUAAAUGGCCUGUAUAAUUUUAUACUUACCAAAAGAUUGCAUUGUUCAAAAGAUACAAAUACUAUGAAAGUUAGAUUAUGACAUAAGUUGUAGUGUUCAACAUGUUGGUACCAUAUAUCGGGCCUCGUCUUUGAACCUCAUUACUGAGCCUAUAACCCAUGUAAAAGGAGGAAACCUUUACUCUUAAAAGGGAUCCUCCUCACCUUCACUAAGGGAGAAAAGAAGAGAGUCUCACAUCCCUCACAACAAUAGAGGGCAAUACCCUCUCAGCCAAACAGAGAGCAAAAUGGCAAGGGCUGCAUCCACAGAGAGCUCCAUUGCCGAUCUAUUGUAAUCCAUACAUUCAUACAGUGAAAUGUAAUCAACAUCAGUGUGGACGUAGCCCAAACAUUGGGGUGAACCACGAUACAUCUUUGUGUUCUUGUGCGUUUGUGUGAUUCGCAGUCGGAUCUAUGUUGGUCCAAGAUCCACCAGAUUUUGUGCAUCAACAUUUGGCGCCGUCUGUGGGAAACGACACGAAAAACUAUGUCGGUUCUCUUUCAUUUUUUUCAUCCCACCACCGUGAAUCUGCAAAAUCCUAUAACCAGAUCGGUUACUUAAAAUCGCCCACCUAACUAUAAUCUCUCUCUAUCCGAUUCAAACACUUGAACCUCACUACGACCUAAUCCAACCAACCCCCCAAAGAUUUCGUGAUUAGAGUUAAAGUUCGAACCUCAUGGCGCGGAUAAAGCUGCAGGUGCUGUUACUUCAGAGCAAGAAGAAGAAGAGGCCGACUGGAAUCAGUAUCACCAUCAUAGUUAUGUGCAAUUUAAUCAUCGCAUUGGUCGCCUUGUCGUUAGUCGCCACUUAUCGCUAUUGGUUACGAAGGUCGCUGGACCAAUAUGGGUCGGAGUUAUCUAAUCGAGAGGAUUUUGAUGGGUUUGGAAAGAAGGGCGAUCUCCCGGUUAUGCUGUUGAGAUGCUAGAAGUUGCAAAACCCUUCAACGAUGAUCCUGCAAAGCAAGAAAAUUUUGAGUGGUUUCUCAAGGAAAAAUACCAAGGAGGACUUCGAUCUACCGAGUCUGGUGGAGCUAGUCAUAUGUCAGAAGCAGUUCGUGCUCGUGAGAGAUUAGACCUUGAGGCUGCAGCUGAUGCAAUACAGAAGGAGAAUGAGGAGUGGAUUAACUCGAUCGGACGGUCCAUAGUUCAACACUCCAGCUGGCUCGCGGAUUCCAAGGUCGUCGAUUACGAUAGCAACCGACAGUGAUCACAACCUCUCGAUUUUCAUGUAAAAAUGAGGCAGCAACAGAUCCAGCUAUCCUAAGAAGUUUGGUGGAUAAGUUAGAAUUGACAUAUCUCACACAAGAGUCACUAGCCUUGCAUGAGAUGGUUUCUUUCAGUGGUGGGGAUCUUGGGGAGAGCAUUGAGAAGAUGCCCACCAACUUCUGAAAAAGAUAAGACUUUCAUCAUGAAGAGGAGUGCAUGUUCCCACCAUGCCCACUUUCUGAAAAAACCCACAAGACAACUGUGAAGAAGAUAAGAAAUCUAUAUUCUUUAAUCAUGCCAGCUUUAAUCAUUCAUUAACUAGUUUAUUAUUUAAUAGUUUAUUAUUAUUUUGUGUUGGUGGACGCUUUAAAGUAUGCAUAUUAGAGACCACAUCAUUUCUUUCAUGGAUGUCAUCACGCUCCACUGCUUGUGCAAUAGCAGUAGCUUGACGAGACCACAGUAUUAUUUAAUAGUUUAUUAUUUAAUCAUCCAUGAACUAGUUUAUUAUUUAAUAGUUUAUUAUUAUUUUGUGUUGGUGAACGCUUUACAAUAUGCAUAUUCUUUGAGGAGACCACAUCAUUUCUAUCACACUUAUAUUUUAGUACACAGUUAGCAAUAUAUUAUUUGUUUUCAUGAUCUGUGUGCAUAUAGUGCGGCACCUCAGAAUAUAUAUAUAUAUAUAUAUAUAUAUAUAUAUAUAUAUAUAUAUAUAUGAUCUGAUAGUGCGGCACCUCACAAUAUCUGCUUUUCUACUACUGCUGUGUGCUUAUCAUGCCGGGUCACGACGCAUACACAUCAUUACUACUAUCAUUAUUUUACUAUCAUAUAAAUUGCAUUUCUACCUAAACGAACGGGGUGACAUGUUAUAAUAAUAUGUUUUACAUUAUUAUUAAUGAUUUAUCACAUGACUAUUUUCCAUAACAUGUGGCAAGUCUGACCAAAUUACACCUUUUAUUAUUUGAAUGUUACAGUGACAUAACUUUGGUGGUUCAUGACACGGACUUUGUUGAUCAACAUUGUUGUUGAUUAAAGAAGUCUAUCGACACUAUUGAUGUCUACAGAUCACUGAGCCACAUGCUUAUGGUGACAAAGAUUUAGUACGAAUGGUGAUCUCUUAUCUGACCGGACACCCACUUGCUGGGAUACUCGCUUAUUUGGACACCUAUGUGCCUGGACACCCUUGAGCUCGAACCUCGACUCACGGACCCAACUCAAAGACCCUACAGAUGGCCCCGACUCGAUGACCCUACGUAUGGCCCCGACUCAAAGACCCGAUCCGAAGAUCCGACACAUAGACCCAAUAUGCGAACUCGACAAGCGGCCCCGAGUCAUGUUAAGAAUCAACUCAUAAUGAGCGCAUGCUGACAUCGAGUGCAUACUCGCAACGAGGAACGCCACAAGCUGAGCCGCCUCGCAACAAGUACCGCCUCCAACCGAGCAACCGUCUGGCCGAGAGCAUCGCCUCUAGCCGAGCAGCCUCGCAACGUGUGCUACCUUUAAUUGAAUAUUGCUUGACGUUAAACACCAUCUUAUGUCAAGUACCAGUUUUGGACGAUAUCUAGUCACUUCGGCCCGUACAUGGAUUGGAUUUGAAGUCUCCAGUCAAAAGACUCUCUUGACUGAAGACUUGGGGGACUCCUGUUGGUACCAUAUAUUAGGCCUCGUCUUUGGGCCUCAUUAUUAAGCCCAUAACCCAUGUAAGAGGAGGAAACUCUUACUCUAUAAAAGGGAUCCUCCUCACCUUCACUAGGGGAGAAAAGAAGAGAGUCUCACAUCCCUCACAACAAUAGAGGGCAAUACCCUCUCAGCCAAACAGAUCUCAAAAUGGCACAUAAUGAGCACACGUUAAUGAACCCGACAAGCGGACUCGAGUCAUGUCAAGAAUAAACUCAUAAUGAGCGCACACCGACGUCGAGUGCAUACUCGCAACGAGGAACGCAACAAGCCGAGUCGCCUCGCAACGAGCACCGCCUCCAGCCGAGCAACCGCCUGGCCGAGAGCAUCGCCUCUAGCCGAGCAGCCUCGCAACGUGUACUACCUCUAGCUGAGUAUUGCUUGACGUUAAACACCGUCUUAUGUCAAGUACCAGUUCUGGACGACAUCCAAUCAUUUCGGCUCGUACAUGGAUUAUAUUUGAAGUCUCCAGUAAAAAAACUCUCUUGACUGAAGACUUGGGGGACUCCUGUUGGUACCAUAUAUUGGGCCUCGUUUUGGGGCCUCAUUACUGAGCUUAUAACCCAUGUAAGAUGAGGAAACCCUUACUCUAUAAAAGGGAUCAUCCUCACCUUCACUAGGGGAGAAAAAAAGAGAAUCUCACAUCCCUCACAACAAUAGAGGGCAAUACCCUUUCAGCCAAACAGAGGGCAAAAUGGCAAGGGCUGCAUCUACAUAGAGCUCCCUUGCCGAUCUAUUGUAAUCCAUACAUUCAUAUAGUGAAAUGGAAUCAACAUCAGUGUGGACGUAGUCCAAAUAUUGGGGUGAACCACGAUACAUCUUUGUGUUCUUGUGUGUUUGUGUGAUUCACAAUCGGAUUUACGUUGGUCCAAGAUCCACCAGAUUUUGUGCAUCAACACAACCACUAAUUAUUCAAAAGAUAGAAAUGCUAUAAAAGUUGGAUAUAUAUACAUAUGUCCACAAUUAUCAUAAAGUUGGCACUGCUCAUGUGCUCGAUGUUCACAAAGAUUUUUCCUAGACAUCUUAGUUCUUGCUUGUUUGUGAAUGAACAUCUUUCGUUCGUCACCAUGUUGUAGAAAUGGUGCCUUUUCUUUUUUGUUUUGUUCAAAAUUUCUUCUAGCUUGUUCUAUAUUAGGAAAUUGAAUAAAUUUGUCAAUGUAUUACAAAUCGAACACAAACAAGCAAUAUUGAUGUUUGAAUAUGGAAUACUUUUCUCUUCCAUUAAUUUGUGUUCAAGAAUUAUGGUGUUAAAUUACAACCAUCUCGGGUUUAUUAAAUCUGCUGAACUUAUGAAAAAUUUACCUACAACUCGGGUUUUUUUAAAUCUAAUGAAUCUCAUUUGCUUUAGGUUUAUGGAACUUUUUGGACCUACAACACAUGUUUAUUAAACAUACCCUAAGAGGCUAAGAUAUGUAUACACUUUCACAUAAAACUUACUCACAAACACUAAACCUCUAGCAUGGGUUGAUUUAUAACAUGGCACACACUUUUAAUUUGAUGGAUGGCAAUUGUGAAUAGGUUACGUUAUGGACUUCACUCAACAACAUAUGAAAUAAAUGAACAGAGAUCAUUAAGCCCCUAUAAAAUAAUAAGAUGGGUUCUGUGGGGGUGUAAUUUCCUCUAAGUUAAUUAGUUAAUUUGGUACUUACAGAAGUAACUGAUCACAGUGUGGUUUACUGCAAAAUUUCCUCUCCUUUUAUUUUAAGUACGAUGCGAAUCUAACUACAAACAACCUGCUAAGCAGACCAAUUAGCAAAUAAAACCCUAUAUAAUACUGCAGCUAAUUACUAAAAACCCUACAUGCAGCAGGUCAGGGGUAAUUUAAUCGCUGCAAAAACGAGCUUCUGAAGUACGAGCCGGUGGUGACAUGAAAGUCUUUUUCUCGACUUGUAGAUAAGGGCUUUCUCGACUUGUAGAUAAGGGCUGACGGAUCUUGGUUGGCUCCUGCCAACCAGUCUACCACUACCAGUCUUAUAAAAUAACUUAGGGUAUUUUGAUAAUCUCCUUGAAUUCAACUUUUUAAACUCAAAAAUAAUUUUCAAGUUUUAGGUCUUAAAAACUUGUUUGGUAUGACUAUUUAAAAAACUAAACUAAAAAAUAUAGUUUAUUAUCUAAAAAUACAAAAAAUGAGUUUUUAAAGUUUUUAAACUUAAACUCAUUCAUUUAUUUUCUCUCCUCUCACUCCAAUUCUGUUUCUCUUUUCUUAUUUCUCUCUCCUCAUUCUCUCUUUUUUUUUAAUAUUUUUUCGUCUCUCCUCUAAUCCGCUUUCUUCAUUAUUUCGGUUCUUUCUCUCACUUCUCUUCCUCGAUCCUCUCUCUUCUUUCUCUUUCCUCCAAUUAUCUCUUACUUUCUUUCCUCCUCUCUCAUUUUUCUCUCUCCCGCGACCCCUUUUUUUAGAUCUCUUUGUCUAGUUUAAGUCGUAAAAUUUAAAAUUUUUAAAUCACAUACCAAUCAAGUUUUUGAAUCUUAAAGAAAAUUGUUUUCAAUAAAUGUUCUUAAGAAAUAUUUUGAAAAAUGAUGAAAAUUUUCGAAUAUGAUACCAAACAGAGCCUUAUUUUAUUCCCAGUAAAAGAAUAGUUGAUUACGUAUAAUCUUCUUGUAUCCUAUACAUUUUUAGAUGGAUAAAAAUUCAUAUAAUUUGAAAGAUCUUUUUUUUAUGCGGCACCUUCACAACGAAGAAAAGUAGCUACUAAUUACUGGCUAGCAUUUGAAGAUAAUGUAAGUGGAAGUUGGUCUUUUGGUUUUUGCACCGACAUGAUUGCAUUAUAAAACCCCACUACUUUAUUCAGCAGUUCGCCACACCAAAUCAAAAAGAAGAGAGUAGCUAGUUAUAUCGAAGCAUUACAAGUCUCUGUGUAACUACAUCAAAUUAACAAGAUCAAGAAGAUGCACGGUCCGGGAGGAGGCGGCGGCGGUCCGGGAGGACCAGGCGGCGGUCAUGGAGGGCCAGGCGGCGGCGGUCAUGGAGGGCCAGGCGGCGGCGGUCAUGGAGGGCCAGGCGGCGGAGGCCCGGGAGGACAAGGCGGCGGCUUUGGAGGACCAGGAGGCGGCUUUGGAGGACCGGGAGGCGGAGGCGGCUUUGGAGGACCAGGCGGCGGCUUUGGAGGACCAGGCGGCGGCUUCGGAGGACCAGGCGGCGGCUUUGGAGGACCAGGCGGCGGUUUGGGAGGGCCAGGCGGCGGUUUGGGAGGACCAGGCGGCGGUUUUGGAGGGCCAGGCGGCGGUUUUGGCGGUCCCGGCGGCGGUUUUGGAGGGCCAGGCGGCGGUCCGGGAGGACCAGGGCAUCAAGGCGGACACGGGGGUGGAGGUGGAGGUGGACCAGGUGGAGGUGGAGGUGGAGGUGGACCAGGUGGAGGUGGACCAGGUGGUCGCUGACUCGUUGCUAAGUGCUAACUAAUGGUCUCGGCCAAGAACUUCUGGUGUACAAGAAGUAGUUUAUAUAUAUAUAUACAUAUAUAUGCUGUUCAUGUUUUAUAAUUAAUUAGUUUACUAAUCAUGUUUAAGAAUUAAGAUCACCACCAGACCAGCUCAUCUGGAGAGGAUCUGGGGAGGAUCAUGUGUCUGUCACUAUGUUGAAUAUGCUGCAUAUUAUGAUAUUUCCAUUUAUAGUAUAUGCAUGAUUGCUCUUUUCUCUAGUGCUUUAUUUAGAAACCUUUUAUCAUUCUUGAUAAUUAAUCUAUUUCCAAUGAUCUCUAAUUAUUAUAUAUAUCGGUAAGAAUUUAAAGAUGGUAAGAUGGGAUAUCAAAGAAAUAGUAGCAAACGUGGUUGUGUGAUGUUGCUGGAGUUUAAAAUGUUUUGGAAAUAUAUACAUUACCAGAACAGAGGUUAUAAAAAGUAGAUUUUUUAUAGUCUUCAAGGGAAGGACUUUCA
rnacentral:lncRNA from 1 species